rnacentral:rRNA from 1 species
GACGAACCGUACGAACGUUAUUCGGAAUUACUGGGCUUAAAGGGUGCGUAGGCGGCGCAGUAAGUUGGGUGUGAAAUCCCUCGGCUUAACCGAGGAAUUGCGCCCAAAACUACUGUGCUUGAGGGAGAUAGAGGUGAGCGGAACUUAGGGUGGAGCGGUGAAAUGCGUUGAUAUCCUAAGGAACACCGGUGGCGAAAGCGGCUCACUGGAUCUCUUCUGACGCUGAGGCACGAAAGCUAGGGUAGCAAACGGG